UUUUCAUUAACAUGUGCAGUUUUCAGGCGGUACCGCUUAGAUGGUGUGUUCUCGAUGCUCCCUCGAUCAAGUGCUCUGGUUCUUUCCUGACGCUUUUCCCCCACUCGGGGUUCUAUAUAUAUUGCAUCAGCCCGAUGUUUCUCUUUGUCCUGCGUGUGGUGCUAUCUGAUCGUCAUUAGUGAUGGCCCGUGAUGGUUCUGGUCGCGGGUGUCCCCGUCGUCGGGGUCGCCCCCCCGGGAUUCGAGCAGCCGUUAUUAAUCGUGUGCGUACUGGGGGAGGUGCUGCCGUUGCUCGAGGUCGUGCUGCAAAUAGGGUCGAGGCUGCUGUUGAUGAUCAACUGUUGGGAGUUCGUCCAUCACGUCGGGGCCUUCCUGCAGUACAGUUGCCGGGGUUGGAUCUAGAGCUGAUAAUUUGUCUGCUGAUGACUUAUGCCGUCGACGUCGGGAGAUUCGUCCGGGAAACUGCCCCGUUAACCCCACAGUUGGCAAUUAUGUGUUUUGUUGCUUUGUUUGGUUGAUGUAGGUACUUUAUUUAGGCAUUGCUGAUAUUAUUUUUUUGUAGGUCAUCCUGCUAUUUCUUUUGUCAGUCCUUCGCAUGUGUUCCACGGUAAUUGUUUUUUAGGAUUAUAUUAUUGUAUCGAUGUGAUUUUAGGCAAAUUUUGCCUGUCAUCGAGGGCGGUACGAAAGAGGAUAUUAUUGAUGCAUCAUUGAUUUCUUCUUUGCUUUGGCCAUACAUUAAAGUUCGUAAACUUCAUACAAAUAUGCGGCUUUGCAAUGCGUUCUAAGGGUGAUGAUUCUUCUCCGUCAUGUAUUUCUAUCCCUGAAGAUAUUUUGUUAUUUCCCACAAUAGAUCAUAUGGAAGCUGCUGUGGACAACGUAUACGAUAUGUUCUAUUUGAAGUAUAAUGAUGCUGAUUAUUUAUCACGCCGUGUUAUUGUUUGUCCGACCAAUUCAGUUGUGGAUAAAAUAAAUGAUGUUGUCUUUAA